GAACAUGUGAAGGCUUUUUUUGUGUGUGUGAACCGAGACGGGCUUCAGUUAUGCUCUGUGUGUCGGUGAAGAGGCACCGUGAACUCCCAGGUCGGCCGGCAAAGGGCCGAUGUCUGAGGCUUCGCUCCGUUCCGGCAGCUGGUUAGCAACACGGAGCUGUGGAUGUUUCCAGGGGAGGAAAUGAAUACACAGGCGUCGGGGGUGAAGGAGGCCAAGUGCGUGGAGUCGGCCGAGAGGUGGAUUCGGUGGAAAGACGGACACAGAGUGUCCUCUGUAGACGCGAUGUGGAACCGGUUCCCAGGGAGCCAGUCAGGAAACCAGAAUCGGAGGAAAAAUGUGAGAAAAUGCAGCAAGUGGAAGAGAAUAAAAACCACUCCUCAUCGACCGCGCAGAGAUAACCACCCCUGUGACCAUUCUGGUCUACGCUUCUUUCCUGGCCUCCCACCUCUCCUCUCUGCUUAUUCCUCUCCUAUUGUUGGGCCGUUUAGGAGUUCCCUGCUGUUACACAUAGCAUUUCAGCAAGCAUCCUUGAAACCAAGACUUUGCAUGGAAGCUAAAUGACUCCUUUGGAUAUGUACCCAGCAAAGGGAGUAUUGGGCCAUCUGGGAUAGACAUUUAAGACUUGUCACACAGGUCACCAAACUGGUGGACAGGAACGUGAGAGUACUCAAUGUACUGCUUUUACCCUGCUGGCAAUGUGGUUUUCUCCUUUACUCACUCAGCCUUUACCCACUCUUCCUAAUUUGGUAGCAAGGCCAAAAAACAAACAAACAAAAAACCAGUGUCCUGUUUCAGUGCUCAACUUCCUUUAUUAUGUAAUGAAGUUGAAAACUA